rnacentral:rRNA from 1 species
UUGAUGGAAUUCAUUUGGAUCACUUAGUGGCGGACGGGUGAGUAACGCGUGGGUAACCUGCCCUAUACUGGGGGAUAGCAGUUGGAAACGACUGAUAAUACCGCAUAAGCGCACAGCAUCGCAUGRUGCAGUGUGAAAAACUCCGGUGGUAUAGGAUGGACCCGCGUCUGAUUAGCUAGUUGGUGAGGUAACGGCCCACCAAGGCGACGAUCAGUAGCCGGCCUGAGAGGGUGUACGGCCACAUUGGGACUGAGACACGGCCCAAACUCCUACGGGAGGCAGCAGUGGGGAAUAUUGGACAAUGGGGGAAACCCUGAUCCAGCGACGCCGCGUGAGUGAAGAAGUAUCUCGGUAUGUAAAGCUCUAUCAGCAGGGAAGAUAAUGACGGUAC